GAGAAAUCGUAAGGUACCUGAGGAGCAGCAAAUUUCACUCAACACUAAUGAGGGUCAAACAGCAUUACAGAGGUGAUUUAGCGCCGCCAGUCUGAAGCAGGUGUUCAUCAUGGCGAGCUCGACCAGCGGAUCUCUCUGUGUUCCUCUGCUCCUCUCCCUGCUGUCUGCGGUUCUUCUGCCUGAAGGUAAGCACUUUUCGAUCUGGUAAUGGCGGGUCGUAUGGGCUGGCUGGUGCCAAUGAAGGCAGGCUGAGUCUGAUUAAGGUGACGUAUAGCAGCGCAGAGGCUUAAUGCAUGGAGGAUAGAUGUGCACGCCUGCAGCGAGCCCGCUGACUCAGCGGCUCGUAUUUAUGAGCUAUGGCCACCCAUCAACAGCUGUCUAAGCGCUGACCACAACCACACAACCUGCCGCUACUGAAACUGAAGGCUCCGCCUCGAGAUGAAUGGUUUGCCAUCAUAGAAAUGACUACUGUUCUUCAGCUGCAGCUGUGUUAGCGUUCGCUGCUGAAUUACGCUGGCAGUGUUUGCUU
rnacentral:lncRNA from 1 species